UACACGCUUGUGCUUGUGGAUGCUGGUC
rnacentral:sRNA from 1 species